CGGGGCCUUUGCAGCCUCCAUACUUAGCGAUGGCCUCCUGGACCCACUUUCUCUCUCAAACUGUCUUUUCUCAUUCCUUUGACUCUGCUGGACUUCGUCAUCCCCACGACCCGGUGUUGAGUCUGAUCACCCAACAUCAUCAGGAUAGAAGCUUCCCUCUCCUCCUCCAGACCUUGUGGUGUGCACGUGGGAGUCCAGGGACUAGAAUACUCAUUUUCAAAGCCUGACAUUGGACCCGGGAGACAGGGAAAAACCAUCCUCAGGAAGUCACAAGAGAAAGAGAGAGCACAGAGGUAUACAGCAUGUGAAACUUUGGACUGCUCAAAGAAGACAUUUUCAAACAUAUCUUUUCAGGACUGUCAAUAGGAACCGUAAGUGAGUUUCAGGUUCGCUCAUCUAAUUGUAGCAGUUAACUGACUGACAAGAAAAACGGGCAUUUUCCAGGAAACGGAAAGACUAGAAAUAAAAGUAGAAGAAAAAGGCUUAAACAAUAUUCUCCUUUAACUUUCUGGCGCAGAGUGAGGCAGUGAGGAAAUAAAAAUAGAGUCCGCGCUUUCAAGUGUUUCCUGAUCUGCUGGGGAAAAUGGUCAUAUUAACACAUGGAGUCAUGGCACAGUGUGUGCUAAGGAUCAUGGUAAAGGUGUACACAGUGAUUUGCUAACAAGAGGGAUAGAAGGUGUGGCUCAGGGAAUGACACAGCUGUCUGAAAGAGUCAAAAUGUACCACAGAGAACGUGACAGAGAUCUGGAUCUCAAAGAAAUGAGAGGUUGCCUAGGGAGCAACAACAAGGAGGGCAUUCCUGGCAGAGGAAAUGGCAUGUGCAAAGAGACAUCAAGAGGAUGAAGCAUUAGAAAUAUAACUAAAUUAUGGUUAUAGCUUGGGUGCCUAUUAAUAGAUCUGCUCAAUAUUAGGCAAAAACAAUAACAAUUGAGAAUUUGUAUAUCAUCUUUGGUGUCUUCUUUGAUAACUUAUUUUGUGUAUGUGUGUUUUUCUUUCCUGCUACUACUCUGGAGACUUGUUCCACUGGUGACCUUUAUGCAUUCUAAACAAUCGUAAUUUCACAGAGUAAGUUGUUCUCUUCUCCCUAUGUGUUUUGUCACUAGCCAUUGUUUUAAAGUAGCUUGCUUGGUUUUUUGUAUUGCAUCUUGUGAAAGCCUAGAUGCCUAGGGGCUUUCAUACAAAUGUAGAAGUCAAAAUACAUUUCUUCUUGGAAGGUAAUAAAGUGUGAAUGUUUUCAACAAAUAAAG
rnacentral:lncRNA from 10 species